AGCUCCAAUAGCGUAUAUUUAAGUUGUUGCAGUUAAAAAGCUCGUAGUCGGAUUUCUGCUUGUACUGCGGGUCCGCUUCGGUGUGAACCCAAAAGUAUAGGCAUCUAGGUUGGGUGACGCAUUGUGAUUGAUUUCAUGGGCGUUGCGUGACCGUUGAUACUUUGAGAAAAUUAGAGUGCUCUAAGCAGGCGCUUGCCUUGAAUACUGCAGCAUGGGAUAUCAAGAAAGCUUCCAUGAGCUUCUUGUUGGUUCUCGCACUUGGAAGAAUAUUCAAUAGGAACAGUUGGGGGCAUUCGUAUUGCGCGCCUAGAGGUGAAAUUCUUGGAUUUCCGCAAGACGAUCUGCUGCGAAAGCGUUUGCCAAGGAUGUUUUCA
rnacentral:rRNA from 1 species